GAUGAACGCUGGCGGCGUGCCUAAUACAUGCAAGUCGAGCGAACAGACGAGGAGCUUGCUCCUCUGACGUUAGCGGCGGACGGGUGAGUAACACGUGGAUCACCUACCUAUCAUUCUUGGAUAACUUCGUGAAACCGGAGCUAAUACCGGAUAAUAUAUUUAACCGCAUGGUUCAAUAGUGAAAGACGGUUUUGCUUUCACUUAUAUCUGGUUCCGGGCCGGAUUCGCUAGUUGGUAAGGUAACGGCUUACCAAGGCAACGAUGCGUAGCCGAGCUGAGAGGGUGAUCGGCCACAAGGGAACUGAGAAACGGUCCAGACUCCUACGGGAGGCAGCAGUAGGGAAUCUUCCGAAAUGGGCGAAAGCCUGAAGGAGCAACGCCGCGUGAGUGAUGAAGGUAUUCGGAUCGUAAAACUCUGUUAUUAGGGAAGAACAAAUGUGUAAGUAACUAUGCACGUCGUGACGGUACCUAAUCAGAAAGCCACGGCUAACUACGUG
rnacentral:rRNA from 1 species